UACGUAGGCAGCAAGCGUUGUUCGGAAUUACUGGGCGUAAAGAGUGUGUAGGCGGUGUUCUAAGGCUGGUGUGAAAUCUCCCGGCUCAACUGGGAGGGUGCGCUAGAAACUGGAAUGCUAGAGGAUGGGAGAGGUAAGCGGAAUUCCUGGUGUAGCGGUGAAAUGCGCAGAUAUCAGGAAGAACACCUAUGGCGAAGGCAGCUCUCUGGGACGGUACUGACGCUGAGACGCGAAAGCGUGGGGAGCGAACAGG
rnacentral:rRNA from 1 species